rnacentral:rRNA from 1 species
GACGAACGCUGGCGGCGUGCCUAAUACAUGCAAGUAGAACGCUGAAGGAGGAGCUUGCUUCUCUGGAUGAGUUGCGAACGGGUGAGUAACGCGUAGGUAACCUGCCUGGUAGCGGGGGAUAACUAUUGGAAACGAUAGCUAAUACCGCAUAAUAGUAGAUGUUGCAUGACAUUUGCUUAAAAGGUGCAAUUGCAUCACUACCAGAUGGACCUGCGUUGUAUUAGCUAGUUGGUGAGGUAACGGCUCACCAAGGCAACGAUACAUAGCCGACCUGAGAGGGUGAGCGGCCACAGGGGGACGGAGACACGCCCCAGACCCCUACGGGGGGAAGCAGGAGGGAUUCUUGGGAAAGGGAGGGAAGUCUGCCCGAGAAACGCGGGGGGAGUAAAGAGGUUUUUCGGAGCGAAAAGCUCUGUUGAAAGAAAAGAAGGAGGGGGGGAGGGAAAAUUUCACAGUGGGAGGGUAUCUAACCAGAAAGGGACGGCAAACUACGUC